GCUACCUCUAUUUAACAUUGUGUCAAAUGCCCCAGCCUAUACAAGACAAUACAAAUGAAUCAAAGUUAGGAUUAAGAGAAAAAAUAAAUUAAAAUAUCAAUAUGAAAUGGUGGUGAAUAUCAUAAUACUACUAAUAAUAAUAACGAUCAUCAUCAUCAUAGGGCGAACACCAAAAAGACUGUUUUAUCACAUAUUCAAAAGUCUGAAAGGAACUUUUAAAAGACAUCUACUUAUCUAUUUUCUUUUGUGUACCAGGGUUAAGAUUCUACUAUCUUUCUGUGGUUAGUAAAGUAAUAAUACUUAAUACCUGCAAGUUUUUAGUGAGAAUUUAAAAUAAUGAUCCCUAAAUGCUU
rnacentral:lncRNA from 1 species